rnacentral:rRNA from 1 species
CACCGUGCAUUGCCUCAGUAGCGGCGAGUGAAGCGGCAAGAGCUCAGAUUUGAAAUCUCACCUAGUGUGCGAGUUGUAAAUUGCAGGUUGGAGUCUCGGGUUAGACGUGUGUGCAAGUCCCUUGGAACAGGGUGCCACUGAGGGUGAGAGCCCCGUAGCGUGCAUGUCGACACCUGUGAGGCCCUUCUGACGAGUCGAGUUGUUUGGGAAUGCAGCUCUAAGUGGGUGGUAAAUUCCAUCUAAGGCUAAAUAUUGGCGAGAGACCGAUAGCGAACAAGUACUGUGAAGGAAAGAUGAAAAGCACUUUGAAAAGAGAGUGAAACAGCACGUGAAAUUGUUGAAAGGGAAGGGUAUUGGGCUCGACAUGGGAUUUACGCAUCGUUGCCUCUCGUGGGCGGCGCUCUGGGUUUUUCCUGGGCCAGCAUCGGUUUUCGUUGCAGGACAAGGACAAUUGGAAUGUGGCUCCUCGGAGUGUUAUAGCCUUUUGUAGAUGCUGCGUAUGGGGACCGAGGGCUGCGGCGGACUCGUUUCGUCUCGGAUGCUGGCACAACGGCGCAAUACCGCCCGUCUGACCACCCGAACAACA